GGGGAAUUUUCCGCAAUGGGCGAAAGCCUGACGGAGCAAUACCGCGUGAGGGAGGAAGGCUCUUGGGUUGUAAACCUCUUUUCUCAGGGAAUAAGAAAGUGAAGGUACCUGAGGAAUAAGCAUCGGCUAACUCCGUGCCAGCAGCCGCGGUAAUACGGAGGAUGCAAGCGUUAUCCGGAAUGAUUGGGCGUAAAGCGUCCGCAGGUGGCGAUGUAAGUCUGCUGUUAAAGAGCAAAGCUUAACUUUGUAAAAGCAGUGGAAACUACAUAGCUAGAGUACGUUCGGGGCAGAGGGAAUUCCUGGUGUAGCGGUGAAAUGCGUAGAGAUCAGGAAGAACACCGGUGGCGAAGGCGCUCUGCUAGGCCGUAACUGACACUGAGGGACGAAAGCUAGGGGAGCGAAUGGGAUUAGAUACCCCAGUAGUCCUAGCCGUAAACGAUGGAUACUAGGCGUUGCGAGUAUCGACCCUCGCAGUGCCGGAGCCAACGCGUUAAGUAUCCCGCCUGGGGAGUACGCACGCAAGUGUGAAACUCAAAGGAAUUGACGGGGGCCCGCACAAGCGGUGGAGUAUGUGGUUUAAUUCGAUGCAACGCGAAGAACCUUACCAAGACUUGACAUGUCGCGAAUCCUCUUGAAAGGGAGGAGUGCCCUAGGGAGCGCGAACACAGGUGGUGCAUGGCUGUCGUCAGCUCGUGUCGUGAGAUGUUGGGUUAAGUCCCGCAACGAGCGCAACCCUCGUUUUUAGUUGCCAGCAUUAAGUUGGGCACUCUAGAGAGACUGCCGGUGACAAACCGGAGGAAGGUGGGGAUGACGUCAAGUCAGCAUGCCCCUUACGUCUUGGGCUACACACGUACUACAAUGCUACGAACAGAGGGCAGCAAGCUAGUGAUAGCAAGCAAAUCCCGGAAAUCGUAGCUCAGUUCAGAUCGAAGCUUGCAACUCAGCUUCGUGAAGGAGGAAUCGCUAGUAAUUGCAGGUCAGCAUACUGCAGUGAAUUCGUUCCCGGGCCUUGUACACACCGCCCGUCACACCAUGGAAGCUGGCAACGCCCGAAGUCAUUACCCCAACUUUUAGGAGAGGGGGAUGCCUAAGGCAGUGCUGGUGACUGGGGUGAAGUCGUAACAAGGUAGCCGUACCGGAAGGUGUGGCUGGAUCACCUCCUUUUAGGGAGACCUACCCAACUGUAAAAUCGGUUGCCAAAAGCAAGAUAGAGAAUACAGAUGGUCAAACCUAGGUCGGUCGCAGGAAAUUGUGUAAGCUUUCAAACUAUGGUUUGGUUCGUAUUGGGGCUAUUAGCUCAGGUGGUUAGAGCGCACCCCUGAUAAGGGUGAGGUCCCUGGUUCGAGUCCAGGAUGGCCCACCUGAACAAGGAACAAGGAACAAGGAAAAAAAGAAUAACAUAAUUAUUUCUUUUGCCUUUUGCCUUUUAAAUUUUGCCUUGUUGAUGGGGGUUUAGCUCAGUUGGUAGAGCGCCUGCUUUGCAAGCAGGAUGUCAGCGGUUCGAGUCCGCUAACCUCCACCUAGAAAGAAAAAAGAGAAGGAAAAAACAGCAACUAACUCUCGUUAGACUGCUGGGUAAAAAAUCCUAGCCAGAACCUUAAAAACUGCAUAGAAACGCGAUUAAAAGCAGGCAGACACAGACAUCGAAAGAUGUAAGUGAAUGCAGGUGAGACACCAAAUGUAUUGUGGUCAAGCGAAUAAGAGCUAAUGGUGGAUACCUAGGCACACAGAG
rnacentral:misc_RNA from 1 species